AGACUUUUUAACUAUGUAAUAAGUAUAUAUUUUGAAAAUAUAAAAAAGAAGAAUUCUAAAAGUCUG
rnacentral:tRNA from 1 species